rnacentral:rRNA from 1 species
UACAGAGGUGGCAAGCGUUGUUCGGAAUUACUGGGCGUAAAGGGCGCGUAGGCGGCCGCCUAAGUCAGACGUGAAAUCCCCAAGCUUAACUUGGGAACUGCGUCUGAUACUGGGUGGCUUGAGUUCGGGAGAGGAAUGUGGAAUUCCAGGUGUAGCGGUGAAAUGCGUAGAUAUCUGGAGGAAUACCGGUGGCGAAGGCGGCAUCCUGGACCGGCAUUGACGCUGAGGAGCGAAAGCCAGGGGAGCAAACGGG